GAUGAACGCUGGCGGCGUGCCUAAUACAUGCAAGUCGAGCGAACAGAUGAGGAGCUUGCUCCUCUGACGUUAGCGGCGGACGGGUGAGUAACACGUGGAUAACCUACCUAUAAGACUGGGAUAACUUCGGGAAACCGGAGCUAAUACCGGAUAAUAUAUUGAACCGCAUGGUUCAAUAGUGAAAGACGGUUUUGCUGUCACUUAUAGAUGGAUCCGCGCCGCAUUAGCUAGUUGGUAAGGUAACGGCUUACCAAGGCAACGAUGCGUAGCCGACCUGAGAGGGUGAUCGGCCACACUGGAACUGAGACACGGUCCAGACGCCUACGGGAGGCAGCAGUAGGGAAUCUUCCGCGAUGGGCGAAAGCCUGACGGAGCAACGCCGCGUGAGUGAUGAAGGUCUUCGGAUCGUAAAACUCUGUUAUUAGGGAAGAACAAAUGUGUAAGUAACUAUGCACGUCUUGACGGUACCUAAUCAGAAAGCCACGGCUAACUACGUG
rnacentral:rRNA from 1 species